rnacentral:rRNA from 1 species
UACGAAGGGGGCUAGCGUUGUUCGGAAUUACUGGGCGUAAAGCGCACGUAGGCGGAUGGUUAAGUCAGGGGUGAAAUCCCAGAGCUCAACUCUGGAACUGCCUUUGAUACUGGCCAUCUCGAGUCCGGAAGAGGUGAGUGGAACUCCUAGUGUAGAGGUGGAAUUCGUAGAUAUUAGGAAGAACACCGGUGGCGAAGGCGGCUCACUGGUCCGGUACUGACGCUGAGGUGCGAAAGCGUGGGGAGCAAACAGG